rnacentral:rRNA from 1 species
AUUGAACGCUGGCGGCAGGCUUAACACAUGCAAGUCGAACGAGUGGCGGACGGGUGAGCAAUGCUUGGGAAUCUAGCUUAUGGAGGGGGAUAACUACGGGAAACUGUAGCCAAUACCGCGUACCAUAGGCUGAGCCCAAGUGGGAUCAGGUAGGUGGUGAGGUAAAGGCUUACCAAGCCGACGAUCCCUAGCUGGUCUGAGAGGGUGACCAGUCACACUGGGACUGAGACACGGCCCAGACUCCUACGGGAGGCAGCAGUGGGGAAUAGUGGGCAAUGGGCGCAACCUGACGCAGCAAUGCCGCGUGAAUGAAGAAGGCCUUCGGAUUGUAAAGUUCUUUCGGUAGGGAGGCGUUAACUACAGAAGAAGCACCGGCUAACUCCGUGCCAGCAGCCGCGGUAAUUC